CUGUAACUCAGCAGUUUUGACCCAAGGACUGUCCAGCCCCUUGAUGCCACAUAACACCAAGAAGAAAUUCAGGAGAAGACAUUUCUCAUGCCAAGGCAUGGGAAGCUGAUGCAGAAUUGCAGUACCACGAGCAGCAGGAGCCCCUGAGGAUAAACACCAUGUGGCUGCUCAGAAAGGAGAGGAAUGACUGCCAUUUACCACCUUUCUCAAUUAAACAGUCCCACAAUUCAGAUGAGGUAAGAGGGAUGGCAGUAGCAGGAGAGCUGAG
rnacentral:lncRNA from 1 species